UAAGACCUAUUUGUGCAAAAU
rnacentral:piRNA from 1 species